GGUAGACUCUUCCUCCCCACAGGGAGAGGCUGGCGGCUCAGGCCAGCCCGGGGUCUCCGGGGCCAGCAGGGCGGACUGCCUCAUCGCCAGAGGACCGGGUCAGAGCGACAAGUAGGUUUCAGGAGAACUCUCAAGAAGCUGGCCGCUGGCGGAAGAGGAUGCUCCAGGGACUAUGUCCUUAACGCUUUGUCAGCAACAGCUUUGACAGCGAGCAGUGAACCAGCAGCACUGCAAAAGACUUCCCUUUGAUCUGCACGCUUUAUUUUCUCCUCCUGUUACUAGAGCAGUUUAGCCUUCCAUCGGGGGCCGGAGGUGAGCCAGCAGGGGGGCGUGGGAAGCAGAGAGGAGCCACCAGGCCCUCUAGUCCUGGGCGGGCCUCUCUCAGCCCGCAGGCGUCCCACAGCCCGCCGUCCCUCUCCUCCGCCAGGUGAGCUGGGGACGAGGAGCGCCCGGAAACCUCGUCUUAGCGAUGCGGGCGGCGUUUCUCCAGUUGGCGUUUCUGCCGGCUUGGUACCAAAGAAAAGCAGGACCUGGACAGGCACGUGCACAGGGGGAUCCGCGGAGCCGAGCUCGCGUCAAUCUGGGACAGGGUUUCCACCCCAAAGCAGGGCUCCGGGCCUCGGAGAGCUGUGCCCUCCUCUGUCCGCCACCGUGGCAGGUGUGUGCCGCUACCCUGUAACGGGUACGUGCAUUUUAAGGAAAUUUCCCUGAUCUUCCCAGGGAAGUACCAGGCAAAUAGCAGAAUCAGAGUUUGAUGCCAAUAAGGACACACAGAAGCUGACCGGGCAGCUCGGGGCGAACGAGGAGUCAAGGUGUGCUUAGCGGAAAUGGCACAUCCUCAAGAGCUGGGGGCCGACUGACACCAGUGUCACCCCAGUGCCGCGGGACAGCUGAGACCAGAAGAUGAGAUGCAGGGAGAAAACCGCGCUGAGGAAAAUAAGGAGACUUGCCUGUGACCUGCAGCAGCGCCGCGGCUCCUUGAAGGCGCAAGAAGGCAACGCAGAGGGUCCGCUAGAUGGCGCUCCUGCCUUUCCAAACGGUUCUCUCCUGGGGCCCCACGCCUGAUGCUUAGCAGAGGCCGCGCGAACGCCCAAAGUACGGAAGAUUUCCAAAGUGACUUCCCGACUGACGAGCACGGGAGAGACGACGGACUGACACGCCUGAGCUGCGUCCCUCCAGCUCUUAGAGGGGCGAGGACGGUGCUACCACAGCUCCCAUCAGAAUGUCAGACGUGCUCUCCCAAGUGAUAAAAUUUUACGACCCAAAGAGAGAAUUAAAGGAAUUUUUAUUGCAGCAUCAUUUCAAAUAAAAAUUCUGAAGUGACUUGAGUGCCGAGCACCAUGAAAGUGGAUAAAGAAAUGGUGCCAGAAGUUGUACAAGGGGCUCCAGGCGGCAGUUAACACGAGGAUGCUCAGAUUAAGUCCCAUGACCUCGCCGGUUGUGAGCCAUUGUCUCCCUGCGCCAGCCCGUCCCUCCCUCACGCUCUGCUUGGUGACGCUGGGACGGGCGUGCCCUCCGCCGCUGUCCUGCCAGGUCCCCACAGCCUGCACCCUGGCAGCACUUGGUACCACCGCCCGCUGGGCUCGCAGUGGAAGCAAAACAGAUCUAAUCUUUCCUUUAAAAGUUCACAGUCUAGGGAAACGAUCUUUGAUUUAAAAAUCGUACGUAGGAGAGGUACCUGAGCGUAUGAGACAGGACUUAACGUGGACAGGCUGACUACGAGACAGUUCCAAACGCUGAGCCCUCACGCACAUACGCACACAGAUAAACACACACCCAAACACGCGCACACGCAAGCGCUCGGCAUGUGCGCCUCUCCCAUCUGGAACAGCACGUCCACUCCACCUCCUCCGCCGGAAAAGUCGGUUCGCAAUCCAAAGCGAUCAUAGAGAGAUCACAGCAGUGGAGACAGCAGCGCUGUGUGCUGUGUCCUAAAAACCCGCUCUUUUCUGGCGGGGAGCCAGUCAAUGUUUCCAGUGGCAGCAGCCAAGCCCAGACUUCCCUGCAGCCUCAGUGCCUUCAGUAACAGUCACCUGGGCUGAUGAGUGAACUGGUGGUCGGGAAGCUUUCUGGGGACAGAUCCCAUAUGUGCACACACAGAUCCCACCCAACCAGAAACUCGCAGUCAUCAGGGUCAGGGCUCUAUCUGUGAUCCCACUGUGACAGCUGCAUCUCUGGACUCCCUUUUUGGCUGCAUUUUAUUAGUCAACAAACAGAUCAUUAGUCAACUACACAGCAAAGAAAAAGAAAGGCCGGCUCAGCCCAGUCCACUGAUGGAUGUUCAAAUUAGUGGGAGAAACUUUACAGAGAAGCAGGAUAUUUGCAUAGCCUCAGAGUACCUCCUCCAAAUACUUACCCAGUACUGUGAUGCUGGGAACAGAUGUCCACAAAUUCCUUGACAUUCCUCCCUCCCGGAGGUAGAAUUUAAUUCACAGAGGAGAACUGAAGAUGAGACAGAGCAACUGAGCUGCUCGUGGCCCUGAAGGAGCCUCCAGUCCCCGAACUUAGAGCAGAGGCUGGCUGAGGGCAGGGUGUGCUGGGAGUGAGUGAAGGAGGAUGAAGACGCGGGAGGACUGCAGGCGGGGCGUCUGUGGGGGCAGAGCAGGCCGGUGGCUGGCGGGGCACCGCAGGCCCAGGACUCACCGGAGACAGUGAGAAGGCAGGGGACGCAGGGAUGGGGGGCCUCCAACCCACUCCUUCUCUCUCUCUUCUGAUUCAGCACUGAAGGUCAGAGGCUGCCACUUUCCCCCACUCUCUUGAUCCUAAAGCAAGAUUCGGCCCUUCUGAAGUCCUCAGAGGAAAUUUUUUCUCGUUCAUAGAAAUAGGGAAACACAAUUUUAUGUUUGUGUGUGUGUGUGUGUUUCAGCCUAGCCCCACAAGCUUAAAAGCCAGUGGUCAGAUUCAUUGCCACUGCUGAGAAAGCCAAGAGGAAGGCGUGUCUUGCAUUUUUUUUCAUUGAAGUAUAUAGUUAGUUUACAAUGUUGUGUUAAUUUCUGGUGUACAUAAUAUUUAAGUCACACAUAAACAUGCGUAUCUCCCUUUUCAUAUUCUUUUCAUUAUAGUUACGACAAGAUAUUGAGUAUAGUUCCCUGUGCUCUACAGUAGGACGUUGUUGUUUAUCUAUUUUGUAUAUAGUAGUUAGUAUCUGCAAAUCUCAAACUCCCAAUUUAUCCCUUCCAACACCCUACCCCCUGGUAACCAUAAGUUUGUUUUCUAUGUCUAUGAGUCUUUUUCUGUUUUGUAAAUAAGCUCAUUUGUCUCUGUUUUAGAUUCCACAUAUCAGUGAUGUCUUGCAUUUUUAAUGAUGACAAUAAUUACCACCUAUCACUGGGCAGCAGGCAUCAUCCUCAUCUCAAAAAUGGUCCUAAAAGUAUGACAUGUUUUUGUAGAACUGUGAGAAAUAAACAAAGCUGCUAAUA